AGUGAACGCUGGCGGUAGGCCUAACACAUGCAAGUCGAACGGCGGCACAGUAAGAGCUUGCUCUUACGGGUGGCGAGUGGCGGGCGGGUGAGGAAUACAUCGGAAUCUACUUUUUCGUGGGGGAUAACGUAGGGAAACUUACGCUCAUACCGCAUACGACCUACGGGUGAAAGCAGUGGAUCUUCGGACCUUGCGCGAUUGAAUGAGCCGAUGUCGGAUUAGCUAGUUGGCGGGGUAAAGGCCCACCAAGUCGACGAUCCGUAGCUGGUCUGAGAGGAUGAUCAGCCACACGGGAACUGAGACACGGUCCAGACUCCUACGGGAGGCAGCAGUGGGGAAUAUUGGACAAUGGGCGCAAGCCUGAUCCAGCCAUACCGCGUGGGUGAAGAAGGCCUUCGGGUUGUAAAGCCCUUUUGUUGGGAAAGAAAAGCAGCAGGUUAAUACCCCGCUGUUCUGACGGUACCCAAAGAAUAAGCACCGGCUAACUUCGUG
rnacentral:rRNA from 1 species